UUGAAAGUGUUUGUUUUAGACAGAUUGGGAUCAUUUUUAUGCUAAUUUGUGCACUUGUGUCACUCGCUCAUGCUUGUCUCACCUUAUGUGUAAAUAGAGAGAAGUUGCUUUAAGCUGCUUUGACACCAGACACCAGUUUAGUGGUCUGAUUAAAACCAUGACAUGGGUUUUGCCAGUAGUGUGCACUCAUGCAAUGCAAGCAAUGAUAAAUAACCAACUCAGUGGAAUCAAAAGUUAAAAUGGUUAUAUAUAAAAACAAAGUUGAUGACAGCCCAAAUACAGUAUGUACAUCCAUUCACAAGUGUACUACUUACAAUGCAGUAUUACUGCCAUUUGUAAAGGUGUUGUCUUAUUUCUCUGUAAUUUUAAUUCUUGUAGGUACAUUCUGAGACAGAAAUUAGUCAACGUUUUAUUAUUUGUGACUUGCAGACACACCCAUUUAAAACAUUCCACUUGUACACACAGAACCAGGAAACAGGAAUCUCCUGAGUUCAGAGAAAUAGAAACUUAAGUGUAGUUGUGUAGGAAACUGAAAUCUCCUUACUUCAUGGAAAGAGAAACUUAAGUGUUGUGAAGCUGUUUGUCUCUGGAUGAUUGAUAAACAUGUAACCAUAAUACUGUAUCAGCAGCAAUACAGAGGACAGAGAAACAGGAAAAGGCUGCAGUGAGUCGAGUUGAAGGACGACUGAAGCAGAAGUUCAAUGUUCUGAGAAGGAAAGACACUGAGCUGGACCAGCUUUCACACACAGGAUCACAUCUCUUCUUUCCUGCCGGAAACAGAUCUAGAAAAACAGGAUCAUAGUGGACUUGAUCAUAUUCAACAACAUGGAUCCCAGGACCAGAAACAACUUCCUAGAGUAUUCCAAUCCGCUCACACUGGACCUGAACACGGUGAAUAAACACCUCCGUCUGUGUGAGAGGAACAGAGAGAUUACUGGCACUCUCACAGAGCAACCGUAUCCUGACCAUCCGGACAGAUUCGAUGGAUAUAAUCUUCAGGUGUUGUGUAGAGAGAGUGUGUGUGGACGCAGUUACUGGGAAGUUGAGUGGAGUGGGAUGUUUGGUGUGGAUAUAUCAGUGUCAUAUAAGAGCAUCAGCAGGAAAGGAGAGGUUUAUAAGUGUGUGUUCGGACGUAAUAAUCAGUCAUGGAGUUUGUUCUGUUCUCCCUCUAAAUGCGUAUUUGUUCAUAAUAACAAACAGACUGAUCUCCCUGUAGUGUCCAGUCGUAGAAUAGGAGUGUAUGUGGAUCACAGCGCAGGAACUCUGUCCUUCUACAGCGUUUCUGACACAAUGAACCUCAUACACUCAGUCCGGACCAGAUUUACUCAGCCGCUCUAUCCUGGGUUUUAUGCAUUUAUUGGAUCAUCAGCGAAACUGUGUUCAUGAAUCCGAAUAGAUUUUAGACAUUUCUAUGUAAUUUCUUUGUAUGUCUGCACUAAUAUGUAUGUCUGUGCCCUCUUUUGCACUGUAAGCUCCUGUGAACAAGAAAAAUUCCUGUGUCUGUUGCAGGAAUGGAAAUGAAGCUCUUUCUGAUUGUGAAGUUUUAGCGGCAUGAUAAAUAAGUGUUAAUGAUUUAUGUUCUUAUUUUUAGUUUUGUAUAUUGAAGAUCUUUUUUGUUGUUGUUGUUAUUUAAAGCUGAUUCUUGGAAAUGCUUAUACACUAUUUAAGGUCAUAUGUGAUCCUGGAACACAAAACCAAUCAUAAGUAGCAGGGGUAUAUUUGUAGCAAAAGCCAAUAAUACAUUGUAUAGUCAAAAUUGACGGUUUUUCUUUUAUGCCAAAACUCAUUAGGGUAUCGAGUAAAGCUCAUGUUCCAUGAAAAUAUUUGGUACAAUUCCUACUGUAAAUAUAUCAUAUGCUAAAAACUUAAUUUGGACAGGUUUAAAGGGGAUUUUCAAUAUUUAGAUUUUUUUUUUUUCAUCCUCAGAUU